rnacentral:rRNA from 1 species
GACGAACGCUGGCGGCGUGCCUAAUACAUGCAAGUAGAACGCACAGUUUAUACCGUAGCUUGCUACACCAUAGACUGUGAGUUGCGAACGGGUGAGUCACGCGUAGGUAACCUGCCUGGUAGCGGGGGAUAACUAUUGGAAACGAUAGCUAAUACCGCAUAAUAUUAAUUAUUGCAUGAUAAUUAAUUGAAAGGUGCAAUUGCACCACUACCAGAUGGACCUGCGUUGUAUUAGCUAGUAGGUGAGGUAACGGCUCACCUAGGCGACGAUACAUAGCCGACCUGAGAGGGUGAACGGCCACACUGGGACUGAGACACGGCCCAGACUCCUACGGGAGGCAGCAGGAGGGAAACUUCGGCAAUGGACGAAAGUCUGACCGAGCAACGCCGCGGGAGUGAAGAAGGGUUUCGGAUCGUAAAGCUCUGUUGUAAGAGAAGAACGGGUGGGAGAGUGGAAAGUUCACACUGUGACGGUAUCUUACCAGAAAGGGACGGCUAACUACGUG